rnacentral:rRNA from 1 species
GAGGAAUAUUGGUCAAUGGGCGAGAGCCUGAACCAGCCAAGUCGCGUGAAGGAUGACUGUCUUAUGGAUUGUAAACUUCUUUUAUACGGGAAUAACAAGAGUCACGUGUGGCUCCCUGCAUGUACCGUAUGAAUAAGCAUCGGCUAACUCCGUGCCAGCAGCCGCGGUAAUACGGAGGAUGCGAGCGUUAUCCGGAUUUAUUGGGUUUAAAGGGUGCGUAGGCGGCCUGUUAAGUCAGCGGUGAAAUCUAGGAGCUUAACUCCUAAAUUGCCAUUGAUACUGGCGGGCUUGAGUGUAGAUGAGGUAGGCGGAAUGCGUGGUGUAGCGGUGGAAUGCAUAGAUAUCACGCAGAACUCCGAUUGCGAAGGCAGCUUACUAAGGUACAACUGACGCUGAAGCACGAAAGCGUGGGUAUCAAACAGGAUUAGAUACCCUGGUAGUCCACGCAGUAAACGAUGAUAACUGGGCGUAUGCGAUAUACAGUAUGCUCCUAAGCGAAAGCGUUAAGUUAUCCACCUGGGGAGUACGCCGGCAACGGUG